UUUGUAUUCAUUAGGAAAAGGCCUUCAGUGAGCUGAGAUACUGUGUGGAUAAAUCAUGCCUCUCCUGGUUAGUCAGUCUAUCUCUCUGUUGAUUAUCUUCAUAUGUGUCUAUCCAUCUAUUUAUUUAUUUGCUACUUGAUGUAUUUAUUAUUUUUUGUUGGGUUGCUAUAUUAUUUAUUUUUUGACUUGCUUGUCUAUAUAUGUAUGUAUUUAUGUGUGUAUGUAUGUAUAAAUGUUUUCAUCUAUUUUACCAUAUAAUAGUCAAUGGCUUUUAGUGUGCUGAGAAAUACUAUACUGAUAAGCCAUGUCUCUACAUUGUUAGGCUGUUUAUAUAUCUAUAUAUCUUUAUUUAUUUACUUAUUGAAUUCCUGGUCUAUUUAUCUAUUUAAUGGCUUGCUGCAUUAUUUAUCUAUUUAUAUAUUUAUUUGUUGACAUGCUUGCUUAUUUAUUUAUUGAUUGAUUGUUUAAUUAAUUCUUUCAGUUAUAUUACCGUAGGCUAAUAAAUGGCUUGCCAGGUAAUUGGAAAUGGCUAUACUGAUAAACUAUGCUUCUACUCUGUGAUACUGUUUAUCUAAUCUAUGUAUCUAUAUAUCUAUGAUUCUGUGUAUCUAUGUAUCUAUCUAUCCAUCUAUCAAAGUAUUGUCUAUCUACUUAUGUUUUGGCUUCUUGAUCUAUUUAUUUAUUGACUUGGAUUAUUUAUUGUCUUGAUCUAUUUAUUUAUUUAUUGGCCUGUUUGCUUAUUUAUUUAUUUAUUCAUUUUACCUUAGAGUAAUAAAAGGCCUUCAUUAUGCUGAUAAAAUACUACUCUGAUAAUUUAUGCCUCUACACUGUUACAAUGUUUAUCUGUAUGUAUUUAUCUAUCUAUCUAUAUAUAUAUCUAUCCACCCAUCCAUCCGUCCGUCCAUCUACCUGUAUAUUGGAUUCUUGAUUUUAUUUAUUUGCAUGCUGGCUUCUUUAUUCAUUCUACUUUAAAGGCCUUUAAAGUACUGAGAAAUACUAUACUUAGAAGCCAUGCUUCUACUGUUAGAAUGUUUAUCUAUCUAUCGACUAUAUAUUUACUUAAUGGAUUCAUUUUUAUUUUUAUUGGCUUACAGCAAUAUUUACUUAUUUAUUUAAGUAUUUAUUUAUUAGUGUGCUUAAAGAUUGAUUAGUGAUUGGCUGGAUUUUUUAUGUAUAUAUUGGCUUGCUGGGUAAUUUAUUAUUGACUUGCUUGUCUAUUUAUAUAUUUAUGUGGUAUGGAAAUAAUCAUUUAUUUUAUCCUAGAUUAGUAAAAGACCUUCUGUAUGCUGAUAAAUCCUAUACUGAUAAGCCAAGACUCUUAAAGCCAAGACUCUUCUGCAUUACACUGUUUAUAAAUCUAUAUAAUUAUUUAUUUAUUUUAUUUAAUGGCUUCUUGACCUAUACAUUUAUAUAUUGCCUUGCUGCAUGAUCUAUUUAUUUAUUGGCUUACCGGGACACUUAUCUAUCUGUCUGUCUAUCUAUCUAUCUAUCUAUCUAUCUAUCUAUCUAUCUAUCUAUCUAUCUGCAUGCUUGAUUGCUUAUAUAUUUUUUAAUUGGCUGGAUUGUUUAUUUGUAUGCAUUUAUUGUCUUGCUAUAUUAUUUAUUGAUUUGACUUGCUUGUCUAUAUAUGUGUAUAUGAAAGUAUUCAUUUAUUUUAUCCUAGAAUAGUAGAAGACCUUCAAUAUGCUGAGAAAUAUCCUGAUAAGCCAUGCCUCUUCUCUGGUAGACUGUUUAUCUAUGCGUGUACAUUUAUGUAUUUAAUGGCUUCUUGUUCUAUGUAUAUAUUGCCUUGCUGCAUUAUCUAUUUAUUCCUUUAUUUACUUGCCAGACUAUUUAUUUAUUUGCUGUAUUUGUUAUUUAUUCAUUUGGUUAUUUAUUCAUUGGUGUGUUUCAUCAUUUAUUCAUUCAUUGUUUUAUAUUACUGUUGACUAAUAAAAUGCUUUCUAGAUGCUUACCGAAUGCUGUAUGGAUAAGCCAUGCCUCUACUCUGUUAGACUGUUGAUAUCUGUCUCUGUGUCUGUCCAUCUAUUUAUUUAUUUAUUUGCUUACAUAUAUAUAUAUAUAUAUAUAUAUAUAUAUUUACUGUUUGCUGGAUUAUUUGUUUAUUUGUUGGCUUAUUGAUCUAUUUAUUUAUAUAUUGCCUUGGUGCAUUAUCUAUUUAUUUAUUGAUUGACAGAUAGAUAGAUUGAUUGAUUGGCUCUCUAAUGCUUGCUUACUUAUUUGCUCUCCAGAAUAUCUGCCUACCUAUCUAUCUAUCUAUCUAUCUAUCUAUCUAUCUAUCUAUCUUUCUAUCGGCUUCUUAUUUAUUUAUUUAGUGGCUUGCUUAUUUAUUUAUUUUACCUUACCAUGAUAAAAGGGCUUCCUUCAUUGUACUGAGAAAAUUCUAUACUGAUAAUCUAUGCCUCUACUCUAUUACAAUGUUUAUCUAUCUGUCUGUCUGUACAUCUAUCUAUCUAACUAUCCAUCCAUCCAUCCAUCUAUUGGCUUCUUGAUGUAUUUAUUUAUUGGCGUGCUGGCUUAUUCAUUCAUUAUACUUUGAAGUAAUAAAAGGCCUUCAAAAUGCUGAGAAAUAUUAUACUGAGAAGCCAUGCCUCUAUUCUGUUAGAAUGUUUAUCUAUCUAUCUAUCUAUCUAUCUAUCUAUCUAUCUAUCUAUCUAUCUAUCUAUUUAUUAAAUUGUUUCUUUAUUUUAUUUUUGGUUUUUUGAGACAGGGUUUCUCUGUGUAGCUUUGGGGCCUUUCCUGGAACUUACUCUGUAGGCAAGACUGUCCUUGAACUCACAGAUCCACCUUCUUCUGCUCCCAAGUGCUGCAUUAAAGGCAUCUGCCACCACCACUGGGCAGUUUCUUUAUUUUUCUAUUGACUUGCUGCAUUAUUUCUUUAUUUAAGAUUGAUUGGCUGGAUUUAUUUAUGUAUAUAUUGGCUUGCUGUGUUAUUUAUUUAUUUACAGACUUAAAGAUUGAUUGGCUGGAUUUAUUUAUGUAUACAUUGGCUUGCUGGGUUAUUUAUUUAUUUAUUUAUUUAUUUAUUUAUUUAUUGACUUGCUUGUCUUUAUAUAUUUGUGUGUGUAUGGAAGUAUUCAUUUAUUUUGCCCUAGAUUAGUGAAAAACCAUUAGUAUGCUGAGAAAUACCAAACUGAUGAGCCAGACCUCUUCUGUGGUAGACUGUAUAUAAAUCUAUAUAACUAUUAAUUUAAUGGCUUCAUGAUCUAUUUAUUUAUAUAUUUUCUUGCUGCAUUAUCUAUUUAUCUAUUGGCAUACCGUGUCAUUUAUUUAUUUAUUGGUGUGCAUGCUUGCUUAUAUACUUAUUUUUUUAUUGGCUAAAUUGUUUAUUCAUAUACUUAUUGUCUUUCUGUAUUAUUUAUUGAUUCAUUGAUUAACUUGCUUAUCUAUUUAUAUAUUUGUGUAAUGUACGUGUGAAAGCAUUCAUUUAUUUUGUCCUACAGUAGUAAAAGGUCCUCAAUAUGCUGAGAAAUACCAUAGUGAUGUGCCAUGUCUCUUCUCUGUUAGACUGUUUACAUACCUAUAUAUCUAUUUAUUUAUGUAUUUAAUGACUAUUGACCUAUUUAUUUAUAUGUUGCUCUGGUGCAUCAUCUAAAUUUAUUUAUUUAUGGUCACUUAUUUAUUUAUUUACCCGCUGGGAUAUUUGUUUAUAUAUUUAGUUGCUUGUUGUAUUUGUUAUUUAUUCAUUUACUUAUCUAUUCAUAUGUGUGCUUGCUCAUGUAUUCCUUUAUUCAUUCAUUGUUUCAUUUAUAUUACUGUUGACUAAUAAAAGGUCUUCUAGGUGCUUAGCAAAUGCUAUAUGGAUAAGCUAUGCCUCUAGUCUGUUAGACUAUUCAUCUAUCUAUCUACCUACCUACCUAACUACCUAUCCAUCCAUCUAUCCAUCCAUUCAUCCAUCUAUCUAUUGGCUUCUUGAUCUCUUUAUUUAUUGUUUGCUGGAUUAAUUGUUUAUUUAUUGGCUUAUUGAUCUAUUUAUUUAUAUAUUGCCUUGCUUCAUUAUUGAUGCAUCAACUUGCCAGAUUAUUUAAUUAUUUGUUUAUUUAUAUAUUGACUCCCCUAAUACUUACCUAUUUAUUUAUUUGCUCGCCAGAAUACAUACUUACUAACUUCUUGAUUUUUUUUUAAUUUGUUGGAUUGUUGAAUAUUUAUCCAUUACAUAUUUAUUUAUUUACUGGCUGGCUGGAAUACUUAUUUAUUUCCACUCUGGGAUUUUUAUUUUAUUUAUUUAUUGUCUCACUGGAUUAUUUAUUUAUUUAUUUAUUGGCUCCUCAUAUUUAUCUAUAUAUUUAUUGUAUUUCUAGAUUAUUUAUUUAUUUACUUAUGUAUUUGUUGGCUCGCCGUAAUACUUACAGAUUUAUUCAUUACCCUGAAUAUUUAUUUAUUUGUUUCUUUCUUUCUUCAUUGACUCGUGGAUUAUUUAUAUAUUAAUCUAUUGGUUCACCAUAUCAUUUAUUUAUUUAUUCAUGUUCAUAGGAUUAUUUAUUUACUUAUUUAUUGCCUUGCCGUAAUGCUUAUUUAUUUAUUUAUUUACCUGCCGUAAUGCUUGUAUCAGUUCCCAGCCAAGGAAGUAACAACAGUUAGAGGCACAAAGCUACAUGCUGGUAUAUGGGUCAUAUCUGGAGAAUUUGUUUGACAAUGUACCAUCUUUGGUACUCCACAUUUAAAUACACUCCCCCCAAAACAUUGUCAAAACAAAACUUCAAUUGUCACCUCAAAGAGUAAAGAAUUUAUGUAAGAGAAGAAUUAGAAGGGUCAUAGCUUAGGGAAACACAGAUUCAAGUUGCCUCAUAUCAUUGUUUUUGUGUAGGACCAGUUGUGUAUAGCUUACAUCAAAACAAGGUCAUAAAUUGGGAAAAUCAGGGAGGGAAGUUAUAACAAAGUGGGAAAAUCUAAAUUCUAAGAAUCAGGUUCUAUUUGAUGACAUUCUUAGGUUUUGAAGUAUUGAAAGCUAGGGUCUUAUUAAGAAUGCAUUUUAAAAGUUUUGAUAGUCAUUGGGAUGUUAUGUUAGAAUUAGAUGUGGUCAAUGGGUCACUUUCAAAGUGGCAAAAAAUAGCACAAAAUAGAGUCAUUUGUCAUUUGCUAUUAUAGAAUCAAUAGGUGAGCUGCCAUUUUUGUACCUUCUGGAGACUUCAGUUAACAAUUGAAAUUGCAUGACAAAAACCUUGGUAAAAACAAAGGGUUUUUCAUAAUCUGUGGUGACAGAUAUAAACUUUGAAUGAUUUAUGUGUGGAAACUGAUAAUUAUUUACUAUAUUUAGUUUUAUGAAACCCUGGAUCUCAUUCUUACUCUGCUGCUGGUAUGAUGUUUGCCUAUGCAUUAAUUGUUAGUUUGCACAUUUAUUCAAUUAUAUUUUUAUCCUGGGGAUUAAACUCUAGGGCCUUGAGUACUGUUUCUUGUGUAGUGUUAAAAUGGACAGGACAAGCAUCUGUGUGGAUUUUGUUUGCUUGUUUGUGUUUUGGCUUGUUUUUAUUUUACUUGAUUUUUGAGUUUUGAAACAUUAUCUUAUUAUAUAACUCAGCCAAACUGGCUUCCAGGUCACAGUAUUCCUGCUUCAGUAUCCUAAGUAUGGGACUACAGCCUUGCAUUAAUCCUAUUCAUUUGUUUUUUUAUUUAUUUGUUUAUUUAUUUAUUUAUUUAUUUAUUUAUUGUGUGUGUAUGUGUGUACACGUGUGCGCUUGUGUGCGUGUGCUUGUGUGCAUGUGUGCAACAUUGCACAUGGGCUCCAGUGCUUUCUCUAUCCAUGGUGUUCUUGAGGUGAUCUGAGAUCAACUUUCAGGACUCAGUUCUUUUUUCAAUUCAUUGUCUGACAAGCUGUCUCUACUUGAGUUAGUAUAUCAAGCUUAUCACUGAUUCUCAUGCUAGCAUCUUCUCUUGUGGUAAGAUUACUGUGUAUUUUUUAAAACUUUAUUUAUUUAAUUUAUUUGUGUGUGUGUGUUUGUGUGUAUGAGAGAGACAGAUAUACAGAAAGAAUGCAUGAAUGAGCAUUGAUGUUUGAACUCAAGAUGUCCUGUAUAUCUCACUAGGUAACGAUAAACUUAGCCUCCAUACAUUCUACAUUGUUUUUAGUGCUGUUAAUUUAGCCCAGGAUCUUGUUCGUGUGAAGCAAUUGCUCUGUUACUGAACCAUACCUGUAAAUCAUAAGUUACUUUCUAAAUCAGGCCCCUCAAAUUCACUGUCUUUCCUACCACAUCAGUACCAGGUAACCACCUACCACGUUCCAUUUUUUACACAACUUUUGGUAAAUACCUUUUAGAGGACCUUGGCUGGAUUUAUGAUGAGGUAUGCUUACUGAGCAUGAUGAAAUGUGGCUCAAUGAUUACUCUGAAGUCUAGCCAAAGUGUCAUAUUAAUGACUUAGGUAACAAAAUUUUGAAACUUAAGUUAUUAGAAUAUGAUAUCACAAAUUUUUUUUCAAGGAGACUGGAGCUGUAGAUUUUUCCAAUAUAGCAAAAUUGGUUUUAUACCCAUUACAUUUUCCUUUUGUAAAGUGCCUCUAUAUUCACAUCGCAUAAUAGCAUUCACCUUGAUUUUCAUUUGAUAAAGAAACUUGAGAAAGACCUUGGAAGCUAAUGUGUCUCUUCCAGUUACCCAGAUCUUACCCUGGGUUGUAGUUUCUUGAGCAUGUUCCUAGUCAUUCUGAUAGCGUUUCCAUUUACUAUAUUGAGAUAUUGCUAGAUUGUUAGUAAGACAUUCAUUGAUUUUUGAAUAAGAUAGGAAUUUGAUAUUUACUGGAAUGCUGAGGUGGAAUUCAGAGAGGUUAAUUUAUCUUUAUCCUCACAAGGCAUUGGUGGAAUAAAGUAUUCCUAUGAACACUUUAGGGAGGUGAAUUAACUUUGUGAUUGCUGAUACUGAGUGUGAGUAAUUAUUAUAUUGUUUAAUUUUUUGGCAGCAAGAGAACUUAUUCCCAUUUUGGGACACUUGAUUUGGCAGAGUCUGGAUAAUUAUCUAUAUACCAGUUUGUUUUUGUUCCUCUGACAUGCUUCCUUGAGCAUUUCUUUUUGUAUAUGAGCUACUGCUGUAGUAUUUUCUUACUGUGGAGUAUUCUCCUGCCUUUGUAAGAUUUACCUCUGAAUCUUUGCAUAUCUGCUUGCAUAUACAACAAGUAGAUUUAUGUUCUCCUACAAUUGUAAAUCAUCUCUAAAUCUUGAGGUUCUGGUAACUUUUAUAACUGAUAGAAUAUUAUUUUAAAUAUAUACUAACUCAUUGGCAUAAUUUAGUUAACAUAGAAAUGUAAGAUGGUUCUUGAUUAAACAAAGUAUUGUAUUUUACAUGGUUCAGAGUCAAAUCAGAAAAUACUUGUAUUUAUUUUUUGGUUUAUAUUGUAAAAAUUACUUAGAUUUUAAACAACAAUAUGGUAUGUGAAAUGAUUGCUGUGAUAAAAUAACCGCAAGAGAAAUUUCUAUUACAUACUUGAUAAAAAUCAUCAUUUCAUAAAGAUUAUGGCAAGCAAAUUAAUGUUAUAUUUAUGUUUUGAGUUGCUAAGGUUAGUGUGAAACAAGGGGCUAUAAAAAGUGCAUAAAGUAUAAACUGGAAAAAGGCAUUAUUUUCACUACAUGUGAGAAGUCAUUCAAAUAUGAUUAUGUCAUUUUCUUUAUGUAGAUUACAAAUCAUGGUGUUUGUUAAAAUAUAGAAGAAAUGUUUUUAAAUAUUUAAAAAAAAAAGUAGAAUUUCUAUAGUAUAUAAUAUAAUCUUUUAUUGGAUUAUUGUGGCUAUCCUUUCAAUUAGUACUUAUGUAUAUAUGGUAGUCAUGGUUAUGUUAUCAAAGAAGCUUAUGUUUAUUUACUAGUUCAGAAAAACAUCACCCUAUUAUCUAGGAUUGAAUAUUCUUUUACAUUGACAUGUGUAUAAUAGAAUAAUGCACCAUGUUAAUUUAAUCUUAUAAGGAAAAGUGAUAGAUGAUUUUUGCAUUUGAAGAUCAUUAAAUUACUAGAAUUAUUUUAUUGCUUGUUCAGGAACUUCUAGACUGUUUUUAUGCCAUGUUAAAAAGGAUUUAAGAGGGUACCAUUUCAGAGAGAUGAUUUUACAUGACUAUACCCCAAUGAGAAAUUAUUAGAUAUGUUUUGUGGAUGAAUCUGAUGCCAAGGAAUAUUUGACCUUUAUGAUAGGAAUGUUGUCUGUGAACUAAAGUCUAGUGACCCUAUGAUAUUAGUCCACAAAUAUCAUCAAUAUUUCAAAGACAUAGUACAUAUUAUAUUCUUAAACAUUUGUAUCACAUCCAUAUAACUAACAUCAUUUACAGCAUUUUCUUACAUGAUAUAAAUAAAAUGUAUAAUUUUUUGCUGUUUUAAAUUUUUAGUGUUGAUGUAAUUAUGAUUGUCCCAUAUUACAUGUAUGUACAUGGAGUAUUAUAUACAUAUUAACUCAUUAGUAUGUCUGUACUUAGAUAAAACAAUAGUUGCUGAAAUACAAGAUUACAAAUUUCUUUGUCACCAGAGAAUAUGAUACAGCAAUGUUUUUCUAGUUUUUCAUUGUGAAUUGUGAACUGUAAAGUAAAAGCAAACAUUUUUUUUUUUAAAUUGGAAUUGCUGUAUCAUACUUUGGAUUUAUAAAAUUAGUCAGUUACAUUCAACAAACACCAGAAAUCUGUCAGUGAAUCUUCCAUGGUUCCAUUUAUCAGUCAUUUUUUUAGUAACUGAAUCAGUGAUUGUCAGUAAAGUAAGCUACAUAAUAAGAUUUGAUCCCCAUUCUCUCUGUUUAAAUAUUUGUGAGAAUUGUAACAGUUGUUAUGUAUAUUGUGCAGACUUUUUAUCCAGUCUAAUUCUUAACUUGUUUCUACUAGUAUCUAUUCAUUUUUUUAAACGUAACCUGGCAGUGUUUGACUACUGCAGAAAUAAUAGACUGAAUUUGUGUAGACUGUCUGAAAUUCCUACAUUUGUAGAAACACCAAAUCCCAUCAACUACCAUAUACACAUGGUGUUAAUAAUAAGAUUUAAUCAGUCUUAACAUUAGAACUAUCAAUCUCUGUUUUGUAUUUAAUCUAUAUGAGGUUUGUUUGAACCACUUUAUCUGACUACUUUUGCCUAUAUGCAUAAUUUCUGAUUACAUUUUCUGAAUAUAUUUUACUUUUAAAAUUUAGAAUAAGUGCUUUUAUGUGAUAAAAUGUUUUAAAACUGUAUGUUUCAUAUGUAUGUAGUUACAUUAUUUUAAAAACUUCAUGAGUAGAGAAUAAAUUUUGUUUAUGGAAAGCUAUGUUUAAAAUAUUUGGCCUGUAAUAGUUCAGAUUUUAAACAUAUAGACUAUAGGAAAAGAAUAAAUUAUUUUUGUUGUUAAAAUAUUAUCUUUAUGUAGGUUUCAUUGUGUUGUAUGAUAAAGUCGAAUUACCUGAAUAUAGUGUUAGCAAAGGCCUCUUUUAAUAUAUAUGGUAAAAAAUAUGUGUGUAUAUUCUACCAUGGUGUCAAGAUACUCUUUUUAGCUACUAAAUUAUUUAGGAGUAUAACUCAAAUAUAAGCACAUAAAAUAUCACUGUUCUUUGAAAAAUGUAUAUGCUAUAUAAAAGGCAUGUAGCUACAUUUUAUUUUUCUGAUCACUGAGAUUUGUGAUGCAAUUUAUUUCUCCAAAUGAUCUAGAUAUUUCAGAAUUACAUUGUUUUAUAUUAAUCCGAUACAUGGCAAAAAUUAACUCUGUAAGUAAUAAGUUACUUUUUAUAUCAAGCCACUGGUAAUUCUAGAGAUACUGAGACUUAGAAAUUAUAAGCUUAUAAAUAUAUUGUAAAUACUAUUGUCUAUUUCAAUUAAUAUGACAAACUGAUAGUUUAUAGAGGGGAUCAUGGAGCUCACAGUUUUUCAUGUUUGUUUGAAUGUUAAAGGAGAAAGUUAUAAACACUAUGCAUUUACUCUAUUCUCAUAGUAGGAUAGUUGACCAUUUUUUCAUGUGAGUUGCACAUUAAAAAUGACAUGGUAGGUAUUUCAGUUGGCUUGUUGAGCAAUAAUGAGCCUACUGAUGCACCUCUUUUCUACUUUUUUUGUCAACUUUCAUGAAGAUUUUGUACUACCUCUUGGGACACUACAAAGUUUUGUAUGUGUUUCCUGUUUGCAUGACAAUAUUCAAGACAACUUUGUAAAUAAUAGUCAAAUACAAAAUUUUAACAUCUAGUCUUUCUAGAUGUAUAGAGUGUCACAGGGUAUAAUUUUGUAAAUACAUCAUUGUAAACUUUCAUUGCACCCACUAAAUUUCGGGAAUGAAAUUUUUAAAGUUGCGAUUUUUUUUUCUACUUUAUGUUCAUUAUUUGUUAGGGGAGUGAGUUUUCUUAAGAGUAUUUAAAUUUAGCUUUGGCUACAUAUCUCAAGAAAAAUCUUCAUUAACCAUAGGAUAAGUAAGGUUUAUAUUGUACAAUUAGGGGUGCAAAUUAUAAUUCUGUGGUUGUAUUAAUGAUAGGCCACCAUGUAAAUACCUUGUUAGUCAUUAUAGGAAAAAACUCUUAAAGAGUUACUUCUACCUCUGAAUUAAUAUACUAUUAUAUUUACAUUGCAUGACAGCAUUCAAGACAAGUUGUAAAUAACUGAUAAAUGUUUCCAUUUGAAAAAUCCAUUUUUAGAUAUACAUUCUUAACAAAAUAUAAGCCUGUGAAUAUUCAUUGUAAACUAACAUUAAUAAAAUUAUUCCAGCAAAUGCUUUUUCAAUGCAAUAGAUAAGGACUACUCAGUUUACUAAGUAUAAAAAUGUUUCUAAGUAGUUUCUCAUGGAGAAUAAGCUAGGUCUUAUUUUUACUUGGAGAAAAAUUACUUAAAGAAAAGAAUUAGAUACUUUUCAUCUUCAUGAAGAAAGAUGAACAGUAAAAAAAUUUUAAAUUAAUGAUAUAAUUGUAAAAGCAUUGUUUCCUGCCCAUUUAACCUAGGCAAAUUUGUUUUAUAUUACAUUCACAUAUACAUCUUAUGUUAUAGUAGUAUAUAAACUACUUAGUAUUCAUCUUUCAUGUGUUUUUGUUUGUUUUUACAUUAGUAUUCCCACUUUACAAAUUAUAAAAUUAAUAUUCUAGUUCUAAUUCAGAUUAUUUAGACAUAUUUUGUGUUAAUGAAGAGCCUAUAACUUUGUUUAUGUGUUUAUACAUCUUAUAAAUUUAUUUAUGUAUUUAUACAUCUUCAGUGUAUAAAAUUUUAAAAACUUGUUUUAUUUUUGUAUAUUUUUCAUGUAGGAUUAUUAAAUGUAAACAUCUAGUGUUCCCUCUAAUGUACUGUAAGAAAAAGUAGCCUGUGUGACAUUAAAGGCAAUAUAAAUUAUAGAGUUGGGCUUGAUGAGGAACACUUAUACCAGCACCUGCCAAGAUUAUACUCAGCUACAUACCCAGUUUGAGGCCAGCCAUGGGUCAUAAGACCCUGUGUCAGAAGAAAACAUGAAAGCAAAAAAAAAACUGAGUACCUUCCUACAAAAUCAGGAGUUAUAAAACUAUGUAAAUUAUUUUUCAUAUUUUGGAGUUGGCUACUAAGAUUUUUAUCAUUUCUGAUUCUCAAAUUUAAUUGUUGAAUAUAAAAAUAGCAAAAUGCCAGAUCUGUCAGUGAACAGAUCAUAAGGAUUGUAGCUUAAAGUGAAUGUAAUUUAAUAUUUUAAAUAUCCAUUUUCUGUAGAAAUGGUGUUUGUUGAAUUUUAAUUGAAGAAAUGUACAAUUGACAUACAUGUAGAUAUAUUUUAGUUCUUCCAAUUAAAGUGGAUAAUUAAGAAAAUUUUAAUUGCACAUAGGUAAUAUCAGUCUGAAAGUUAAUACUUCUGUAUUACGAUGUAUGUUAUUUUCCAGUAAUGAUUGAAGAUUUGUUCAAGUGAUUUAAACAGUGUAUUCAUGCUUGGAAAUUGUCACAUGAGAACAUCUAGAACAAAUGAACAAUUUAUGCAAACAGAAAACAUGUUCAGGAAGAACGUUAAAGUUUUAACACUAAAAAAUAGAAAGGAGUAAGACCACUUCUAUCUGCCUUUGUAUUUUAUAAGGGCCUUUGCAAAUAAGCAACUAAAAAACAGGAAAGAGACAAUUUAUGCCUGUAUCUUUGAUUGACAACAUCAUGGGAGUGAUGGGUUGCCAUAUCCAACUUUCUAUUCCUAGCAGCCCUUAUGAAUGGUUUUUGAACAUUUUUGUGAAGAAUUUUAGACACUCCAGCACCUUAUGUGUCAACAAUCAGUAUUCCAUUAUCCAAUGAUAAAAAGGAGAAGAUGAAAAUUCACGUAAUUAUGAUGACAGACUUAUUAAACCUACUGUGAUAGCAACUUAUGGAGUCUACGAAAAUUUACUUUACGAAAGUGAACUCUAAACUAAAGGUGAUCACCAAAAUAGAUAAUCAUUGUAUCUACAACCUUCAUAACUGUAAAAAGAUCUCAGAAGGUGUUGCGUGACUAGUCUUAUUGAUCAUUAAAAUUGACCUCAGCUUAUUGGAUGGAGACUGAAAUAUGUCUUUGAAGAAAAUAUUUUAUAUAUAUUUAAAGACUUUCAUUGAUUUUGUUGGACUAACUCAAGAAAUGGAGACACUACCACAUGGAUAAAAAUAGUAUGAUGGAACUGACAUUGGCUUCAUCACAGUGUUUUCAUAAAGUAUUCCCUGUAUGUAGUCAAUUUUUUCCUCAGAGUUGAUGCUUACAAUUAUUUGUCAAGUUGGAAAAAAUGCACUUUUAAUUUCAUUUGCACCACAUUUAAUAGAUUAAGUAGGAGAGAAUAGAUUUCUUUAAAAUUGAGUCUUCUUAUACAUCCUCAAGGAGGAUUCCGAGAUUACAAUCACGUAUCACAGCACCAGGUUUAUGUGGUUCUGGGGCUGAAACUCAGAGAUUCCUGAAGGCUGGAUAACUACUCUACCAAUUGAAGUACUACACCCAAACCAAAGGAAUAGUGUUGUACAACUCUAGCCCUGGCUACUCAAGACAAUACAGGAAGACUGAAAGUUUGAGGUCAGCUUGGCAACACUGAGACCUCUUCUCCGCAUCUCAACAACAAAAAAGCUCAAUUGACUGAAAUAUACUCCUUUCUCUUGGGCUAGUUGCACUCCCUGUCUAAAGACCUACUUGACAGAUAUCCCAUGGCUCUGAUACCUCCAACAUCCUGGGGUCAGCUUCAUGCAAUGCCCUCUCAGGACCUCCAUGCAGGUGGUGGCCAUCUUGACAAAUACACCAAAUAUACCUUCUGAAGAGGUUUUAUCAACAGGAUCUUCCUAAUACACUUACUGUAUUUACUGUUUCUGGAGUCUUAUUCUACCCUUAUCAUCUCACAACUUGUAUAGAAGCCUUCAGUGGAAUAGAAAAGACCUGGUUUUGGCAAGUAAUUGACUGGAACAUUCAGUACUUCUGCUUUCAGAAUAUCUUGUACUCACGUGUUGUGCGUUACUUCUUCUCUUAUUCAUAUUUUACAUUUUAAAUGGAAGAGACUUUUAUGUGUAGGUAGUACAAUUACUGUACACAGAUAUUUUUAUGAUACUUCAGAUGAUAACAAGGUUUUCUGACUAAUUGAGUUUCCCUGUAUACCAGUUUUGUUAUCAUUUGUGAGAUGGUUUCAUCCUCCUUUAAAUAAGAACCUCAAAUUUUAGGCAGUCCCCAGAGAAGAUCAUCUUCUACACUGGUAUUCCCUAGGGAAGACCCUCCUCUGGUUUCUGUUUUAUUGGCAUUACUGGCCUCUGUCUGGGCCAGGAAAAUGGGUCUCUGUGGUUUGUCUUUUCUCCAAUACCUCAACUGCAGACUUCAAUACCAUUGCAACUAUGAGUAUGUAGAGAAAUGUUAUUGCAUUGUUGAGGAGAACCAUGCGGAUGCUCUAAUCACUUUAUUGGUAUCAUCUAUGUCCCUUCAGGUAAGGGUAAAACCUCACUGUUUCAAAGAGAUUUGAGUUUAUUACACAGUGUGUUGAUUUUCACUUGUUCCUGCUUAAAUUAAGUGAAGUCAUAAAGUACUAUUUAUUUUAAAUAUUAGUUGUCUGUUUUUAGAACAUAAGUCAUACUGUUCAUCAGGAAAUUACUAUCUGAAUUUCUCAACCUGUUUUAAUAAUUGUUAAGAGUACAAACAACUGCUAAGAAUUUUUAAAGUGUGUGCGUGUGUAUGCUCUUAUGUAAGUAUGUUCAUGUUAGGUGUCUGUGGAGGUCAGAAAUCAAAGUCAGAUCCCCUGGAGCUGGAGUUAUGGGUGAGCCAUGAUCACUCAAGCACCAGAUAUUUUAAGGUUAUUUAAUAAUUCCUUUCUUUGAAAGUUUGUGUGGUUUACCAGUGGAAAAAGGUGAUUUCCAUCCAAGCCUGGCAACCUCAGUUUUGUGUUUGUAACUCAAGUUGGAGAGAAUAUAGCAGAAAGCAAAAGACUUAAUGGAUUUUUUUCAAUCUCAUAAAUUUGUAAUGCAACACAUGUCUCAUUAUAUUAUUAUGGCAUUGCAGUUGAUUUCUGAGGUAUGUUCUGUGUUAUUUUUAUAAUAUCCAUUUAAUUCAUAUACAGUGGAGUUCCUUUUUUAACAGCAAAGUUAAUGUAUUUCAGUUAAUUUCCUAUGUUAAUAUUUUCCAAGUUCAUAUUGAUCUUGAGUCUAAUCAGACACAGUGACAGUGCUUGAAACAGAAGAUAAUACAACUUGUCAGUUUGUGUUAGGGGUCACAAAACAUUUUCUGUAAGGCUCCAGAUUUACAGAUCAUGUUGUUGCAACCAGGAAUCUGUUCUUGCAGUACAACAGUACCAAGGGCUAAUUAUGAAACUGUGACCCAGUAAAUAGUUACAGUGCAUAAAUCCUGUGGCAGAUUUGGACUCUAGCAGAUGAUUUCGAUCCCUUAGUGUACUGUAUGGUUCUAGUUUCAUCCAUAAGAUCUUUGAUAAAUUUUGAAAAAGAAGAGACACAAAGAAUGUCUUUGCUUGUACUAGUUUCUGAAUCUUUUAUAUCAGUGGUUCUCAACCUGUGGAUUGUGAUCCCUUUGAGGUCCAACAACCCUUUCAUGGAGGUCACCUAAGACUAUUGUAAAACAGAUAUUUAUACUACAAUUCAUAACAGUAGCCAAAUUGCAGUUAUGAAGUAGAAAAAAAAUAAUUUUAUGGUUAGAGGGUCACCACAGCAUGAAGAACUGUAUUAAAGGGCCACAGCCUUAAGGAAGGUUGAGAAGCACUGCUCUAAACAUUCAAAUAGUUAUAUUUAUCAUUGAAAGAAAUAUUUAAGCCUUUUGAUACUUGGCCCUUAAAUUUAUUUUAAAUCAAUUUUAAAGUUAGAUGUUUUAGCACAUUGAAAUAUGGCCAUCAACAAUGAUUAAAGUAUUCUGUGCUCAUUCAUUCUUAAUCUUCUAUCCACAUUCCACAGCAGUGAUGAGUUAAGCUUUCAUGAUAUAUAUAUAUAUAUAUAUAUAUAUAUAUAUAUAUAUAUAUAUAUAUAUAUAGCAGUCAGUAACUUUCUUAUGUUUAUAUAAAUGUAGGUGGAGGUUGUAGAUGUAUGAUCUUUGUAUUGUUGCUUUUAAACUUUCUAUUUAAUAUAUCAUGGGUGUAUUUCCAAACUAGUAGUUUAGGUUUAUAAAAAUGUGAUUUGCUCCUACAUGUGAUACUGUUGAUGAUGCCACAUAUAAUUAUAUAACUUUGAAAAUAUAUUUGGGUUCCUAAUUAUGUAAUAGUUUUCUACGUAUGGUAAUAUUAUGUCAUCUUCUGUGGUUUCUGUUACUAUUGUGAAAUUGCUCUUAAAUGCUUUCUGGGCUAAGCCAGAGCAGUGGUGUAAUGACAGUGCUAAUUUUCAUAGACUUGUGUUUAUUAUGUUUCAAAACAUUUAAAUAAUAGUCAAUCUAAUGGGUGAAAUAGUAUUUUUAAAACUUAAGCCUAAUUUAAAUGUUAAGUGGCCAAGAUUUUAUAAAAUUAAACAGUUUUUAGAUGUAGAAACCACUAAAUGCUUCUAAUUUUUGCACUUUCUCGUAAAUUCCUUUAGUAUAUAUGGCAAUGAGUUUUUUCUUUCUCUUAUUUUGAUCAAAUUUUAGGGCCAGAUGCUCUUCAUCUAGGUUUACUAUUUGCAUUCCUUUCACUCAUCAUGUCCUUUCCUCUUUCCCUCCCUUUCCUCUCAUCUUAUUUCUGUUUAUACAUGUCACUUUGUUUUCUGAACCUAUGUAUUAUUUGCAGAUAUGAUGUUCAAAUUGCCCAGUAUUUUUCUGCAUGUACAUUAUAAAAGUGUGUGUAUGUUCCUUUAAACCUGGCUUAAUUUUUUUUUUUUUUUGGGUUUCGUGAGAUAGGGUUUCUCUGUGUAAUAGCCCUAGCUGUCUUGGCACUAACUCUGUAGAUCAGGCUGGCUUGGAACUCACAGAGAUUCUCCUGCCUCUGCCUCCCAAGUGUUGGGAUUAAAGGCUAGUGUCACCACCACACAGCUAGACCUGGUUUAAAAUGUAAGAACUUUAUGACUCUGAUGUGUACUUUUUCCUUUAUCAUAUCAUAUCAUAUCAUAUCAUAUCAUAUCAUAUCAUAUCAUAUCAUAUCAUACCAAAUAUAUUAUAUUAUAUUAUUAUCCCUUAGAAGCCUGUUUAUUUUCUAAUGAGAGACAAAUGGCGAUUCUAUAUGGGAAGGGAAGUAGAGAGGAACUGGGAAGAGUAGACAGGUGAAAUCAUACUUUGUGUGUGAGAAAGAAAAUCUUUCAUUAAAAGGAAAAAGAUAAAGAAUAUCAGAUAUAUCAUCACUAGUUUAAAAGUGCACUAUAUGCAUUGUAUAAAUUUACAUGUCAAUAGUUUUUUUUUCUUUCUUUUUCCAUUCUGUGGAAAUAACAGUAUUUGCAGAAGCCAUGUCUCUUUGUUAUAUCCAUUAGGCUAUCUUGGUCCUCGAUGGCAUUGGUGUUCUUGAGAAAUAGCACACUUCAGGUUUUGAGAUUCUUCAGCUUCUUAUUUUUUUCCUUAUGAAAUAUUUGAGGACAUAUAUUUAUUUAGUAAUACUUCAGAAUAAAUGUAUGUUGUCUUCAACAAAUCAUGCAAGUAAAAUGUUUAUCCUCACAAUAUGGAUAUUCAUUUAGUUUAAUUGGAACUGACAUCUUUCUCCAGUGUUACAGUUACUUCUUCCUAAAUAAACACUACAUAGAAAGACAAUUUUCAAUUAUGUAAAUCUUUUUAUAAGCAAAUUUUAGCACUAUCAAUUUAAAUAUUCCUUGUGUUUCUAUAUUUGAAAACUGUAAGAAAAUUUGAUGACAGAUCUUCUCUGAACAUCUGGUAGAAUUCUUCCAUGAAUCAAUUUGAGCCUGAGCUUUUCUUAUUUUUGUUGUUUUAUUUUUGUGUAAUAUAUUUUGAUGAUGUUGUUUGGUUCUCCCAAAUUCUUCCAGAUCUUCCCUACCUAUCCAACUUCCUGUUCUUUCUCUCUCUCUCAAACACAAAAGCCAAACCAAACAUCAAAGCAAACAAAAAAAAAUCAGUAAGAGAAAAAAAUGCCUAAACAAACUGAAACAUAAAGCAACAAAAAUAAAUGUAGUCUCGGUGAUGUGAUUUAUUUAUUUCAUAUUUAAUUUUUACAGUUGUUUUGAGACAAGCUCUCACUAUGUAACCUUGGCUGUCUUAGUGUUGCCUAUGUAGAUUAGGCUGCCCAUGAACGCAUAGAGCUCCACAGAGUUUUCUCUGCUUCUACAGGUCUGGGUUGAGAGGCAUACAUCACCAUAUCUAGAUGGGCUAUUUAUUUUUUACUUAGAAGGGAUUUUGCUACUGUUUCUUUUAUCUUAUUUUUGGUUGUUUUUUUUGUUUGUUGUGCUUUUUUUGUUUCAGUUUUUGUUUUUGUUUUUGAGAUAAUGUUUCUCUGUGUAGCCUUAGCUGUCCUGGACCAGGCUAGCCUGGAACACACAGGGAUCCAUCUGCCUCUGCUUCUGGAGUGCUGGGAUUAAAGGCAUGUGUGUCCAUUACCCGGCUGUUACUGUUUAUAUCUCCUUGUUUAUUUUGAGUAUCUUAACCUAUUGAUCUCUUCUUGGUUUUACUUUGGUGGUUUGGAGAAAUCUAGAAAUUCACCCAGUUGUUUUAGAUUUUCUAACAUAAUAAAGCACGUGUUUUUAAAGUGCUCCCUUAUAGUAUUCUAAAUUUCUUUGGUCUUUGUUAUGUUUUCCUGUUCAUCUCUGAUUCUAGUUUUUUGGGUCAUCUCUUUCCUUCUUUUGCUUAAUUGGACCAAGAGUCCAUCAAAUUUGUUCAUCUCUUCAGAGAACCAGCUCAUAUGUUCAUUGUUUCCUUAUACUUUUAUUCCAUUAUUAAUAUCUGCUCUUAUUUUUAUUAUUUCUUGCAAACUGCUGGAUUGUAUUUUGGUUUGUUCUUGUUUUUCCAAAAUCUUGAUCUAUAUCAUUAAGUUAUUUAUUUGUGCUAUUUCUGGUUUUUGAUUUUGUUAUGUUUGGUUUGGUUAACAGUUGGUCUUGCUAUGUAGCCCUGGCUGUCUGAAACUUACUAUGUGAAGCUGGUUACCCUUGAACUUACAGAAGUCUACCUGCUUCUGCUUCAAUUUCUAAUUUUUAAUGUAGGAUCCAGAGCUAUACAUUUAUCUCUUAGUAAUGCUUUUAAUAUGUCCCAGAGCUUUUGUUGUAUUGUUUUAUUAUUAAAUUACUUCCUGCUUUUAAUUUUUUUCCUUUGAUUUCUUCCUUGAACCAUUCAUCAUUCAGUAAUGUUUUUUUUAUUUCCACGAGUUUCUGUAGUUUUGGCUGAUUUAAAGUUUUAUUGAAUCAUAGUCAUGUAAGAUACAUAGAAUUAUUUCAGGUUUUUCUGAAUUUUAAAAAUACUUAUUUUGUAUAACUUAGACAACAAAUGAAAAACAAAUAUCUAUUAUUUCUGUUGAUAUUAUCAUUUAAAAUGAGAUGGUCAUAUAAUCUAAUGCUUGAAAAAAAGAUGAGUUUGAAUGUUUGUAUUUGGAUGGCUCCCAGAUGUGGGCAUAUCAUUACCAUCCUUUGGCAUGAAAGGAUUAAUUAAAGUGAUUAAAUAAAAAACAAACAAAAAUAGGGAGGAACAUUGAUAAUUUACCAGUAGUAUUGAAUAUAGACUUAGAAUAUGUCUGAAAACAGCCAAUAGCACCAAUGUUUAUGGCAUAUCCAAGAAAGUUAUUGAAUAUUCUCCCAAAAUGAAGACACUGUUAUAGUCCCUAGCUGGAAACCUUCCAGUAUUCUGCUUUUCAGUUGCCUGUGUGUUUGAUAAUUUAAAGUUUGGUAUGUUGUACUUACUUGAUCACAUAGGAUUAUGCAAUAAUCAUUUUGUCUUUGCUUUCAUUUCUCCACAAGAAAGGUAAAUUCCAAAUUGAUAGAAACAUGGAUUCUAAAGAUGUAUUCCUUCUCAAAAUUUCACAUUUAGUGUUUCCUCAGAACAAAUGUUCUCAUUUAAGUACUUGUAGUGCUUUUGGGACAAAUUGCCUUUUUAUGUGUGUGUGCCAUAGAGAUAACUCAUCAAGUAUAGGUGCUUGCCACUAAGGCUAAUGAUCUGAGUUUUAUUUCUUGCAUCCAUAUGUUGGAAGGAAAGAAUUGAUUUGUACAAAGUGUCCUCUGAACUUUGGUAUGAGAUAUACAGACAUACUUUUUGAGAUGAAGAGAAGGUCAAUUUAUAUAAUCCAACCCGGACAGCUUUAAUCAUAUGAUCAUCUUGAUGGCCUCCACUGUCAGUCUCCUUAGUACAGUGAUUCCAGGGUGCACCAGCAUGUUUGGCCCAUGUUGUCUACAUAUAUUUUGUUUAUUCAAACAUAUUAGGUAAGAUAAAGAUCAUAUUGGUUGAACUCUACAGAUAAAUAGUAGUAACAUACAAAAACUAGAAUUAAGUAAGGAAGAUUCAUGGAUAUUUCAGAGUUGCAUGUAAUCUAUGUGUUUGAUAUAUGUAUAUGUAAUUAUGGAGAAAACCGGGAUUUGGAAUAUAUCUGUGAAGUAUUGCUAGUACAAUUUGAUAAAUUGAUAAUUAUUACUAGGUGUUAUAAGGUUUUUCAAGACAGAAUAAACAGCCAGACAUGUUAGCAUGUACCUGUAACCCCAGUGUCUGGAGAGAGAGCGACAGAAUUAGCUUGAGUUUCAGGUAAACCUGGGUUAUAUAGAAAUAUCAUGUAUUAACAAAUAAGGAAAAACUAAAAAUUAAAAUCUGAGAAAAAUUUGACACCAUUUAUUAUCAUUACUAUAUUGAACAGUUACUUUUCUCAGCAUUUGAUAGGGACAGGGUAGGAAGAGAAGGAGAUUUUGAGAGUUUGUCAUUAUAUUCAUCCCUUAACACAAACACUUGAUUUUUAGAAUGGAAAUAAAUUAGAGCUCCAGAGAAUUUAAAGAGAGAAAUAAUAGUUUGUAUUAAUCACUGUGUGAUUUUCUUGUGAUUGUGUGCAAAUAUGAGACCUAGAAACAGUGAAAUGAGAGGAGGAAUAGCCACUUGAAACAUUUCCUUAAGUGGUCUAGCAUGGAAGUGUUGAGAAAGCAGUCAUUCCUUGAUGUUUCUUCAUCUUCUGAGUUCCCACUUGUGUUGCUUUUAUUUGCCUGCAUUGUAGAAUGUGAACCCUUGAUCCUCAAGCCUCUAGAUUUACUCAUUGAAAGCAAGAGAAUAUGGCAGACUUGGGUGUAAAUUAAGUAUAAAACUCAAUAGCUACUGAGAUAGUAAUUAAUUUUUUAUGUCAAUGAAAGACAUAGUUUACAAGUAUAGAGAAUAUAACUGUUUUAGGUAAAAGUUCUAUGUGGAGAAGGGAGAAAGUAGUCAAGAUCAAAUCUAAGGAUACAUUUGAAUUGAUAGAUUGUCCUUUGAUGAUGUCACUAGCCCAGAUAUGUAUUUGUAUCUGGUGAGGUUCUUUUUCAAAGUUAUUUAUUUAUUUUUUUCAUAUUGAUCAUGUUUUUUCAUCCACUUACUCUUCCCAGACUUUCCCCUCCUCCCUACCCAACAAACUUUAUUCCCUCUGUCUCUAGAGUGUGUAUGAAAAUAGCAGAGAUGUAUCUCAUGUGUACAAUAACACAUUUUCUUCAGCAUUCCAUAUUCUUUAUAUGAAUACACCACUGAGUAUCUUUUACAUCGCAGAAUUCCAAUAGUAAUCUUUUGUUUAACUGUAUCAUUUUAGUUCCCACUUAGAUUGUUUCUUUUAGUUCUUGUAUCCAUUGACUAAUACCAUUGAAUAAUAUUUUUUGAGGCAUGGUUGUUGAAUUGCUUGGAGAUGCGGAUUUUGUGAAAGGUUUAUAAAAGUUUGUGGUGUAAUUCAACCAUUUGUUGAAUGUGUAAGAGCCCUAACAAAAAAUAAAAACUCUAAACAUAAAUGAGUAAAAGAUUCAAGAACAUAAUGCCAGGAAUCAAGGGAGUAAAGCAGGAUAGAUGGUAUAUAAGGUAGAAUUUGGUAGAAAGUGUAGUAGGGUAAGGUAAAUUUAGUUCACAAUUUUGCAUAUUAUUUCUGAAAGACAGUAAAUGAUUAUACCAUAACUAGAGUUAGAGGAAAGCAAGAGUGUGGGAGAUAGACUUGCCAACUGAAUCAGGAAAGUUGUGAACCGUAUCUCCAGAAAUCAGUUGUAAAUUAUCAUUCCCUCCUUUGUGACUUCGAAAUGAGUGGCUAUUAUUCAAUAUACCAAGAUUCAUACCAUGCAAUUUAUGAUUUUUGCCCCUGACCUUUUCUUUUCAUUUUUUAAUCUUUUAUCUGUUUAGUUUAUUUUCAGAAGACUAAAAAUUAUGAGCUCCUAUUAACAGAUUUAGUAGUCAUUUCAAUCUUGAAACAUAAAUCCACAUAUUCUGUGUACUAUUCCUUUUUUUUUUUUGGUUUUUCGAGACAGGGUUUCUCUGUGUAGCUUUGCGCCUUUUCCUGGAACUCACUUGGUAGCCCAGGCUGGCCUCAAACUCACAGAGAUCCUCCUGGCUCUGCCUCCUGAGUGCUGGGAUUAAAGGCGUGCGCCACCACCGCCCGGCGUACUAUUCCUUUUUAUUUGCUAUUUGGUUCCUAACAAAGAUGUCAUUAUAGCCCUAUUGAUACGUCUGUAUUUUAAUUUUUUAUGCAUGAGAAGACUUUUUGUAGAGAGCCUAUGAACAGGGCAUUGGUAAGACAAUGUGGUAUCAAAGAACAAUGCUUUAAAAUAUUUAGAGUGAACGCUGUAUUUCAACCUCUAUGUCUAACUUCAGAUAUACCAUUCAUUCAUCACUUACUGCUAUGUGUUUAUUACUGUCUUUGACCUAAGUUUUAAAAAAAAAAUUAUUUGUAUUUUUAAUUAUGUGUAUGUGUGUCUAUGUGUGGGCAUGUAUGUGUGAGUGAAGGUGCCUAUAGAAACCAGAAGAGUAUAUCAGGUUCUCUAAUGUUGGAGUACAGGUAGCUAUGAGUUGGCCAGAAAGGGUGUGAGGAACUGAUGUCAGGUCCUCUACAAGAGGAAUAUAUUAUCUUAGCCACUGACACAUCUCUCCAGCCCUGAACUGAGUUUUUAAACUUAUUCAUCUAGGUAUCUCAUACACCAUAGGCAUUUCCUAAAAGAACUUUAUUUUCAUUUUUGUGAGUCAGCUCACUUAUUUAGUAUUGGAAUUCAAGCAGUAAUAAAGAAAUAUCUACUUAUUUAUGACAGAUUAGAAGAAUAUAUUUAACUGGACAUCAUGGCAUUAUGGCACACACACCUUUAAUCCCAGCACUCUAGAGGCAGACAGAUCUCUGUGAAUUUGAGGCUAGACUGGUCUACAUAAUGAGUUCCAGAACAGCUGGGGCUACUUAAUAGAGAGAGUCUGUCUUAAAAAAUCAGAAAAAAAACGUUACAUAGUUUAGAUACCAUAUGACAAAGGAAAAUAGGAAGGAGUUAUUUUUCCAAAAGAUAAGAAAUGGUCCUCUUUUGAAGAUUUUGAAGAUGCUAGAAACAGCAAGAUGCCUCACAGGCAGUAUAUGACCAAAUUAGUAUAGUGAUACGUGCUUUUUUAUACUGUCUGUUGGCUUCUCGUGAUCUAUUCUAUUUUAUUCUAUUCUAUUCUAUUUCUAGUGAUCUAUUAACUUUUUUUCUGAUGAUGUUACCUUUGGGAAAUCUAAUUCUUUUAGUUCAAUUUUGAGCAGUACCAGAUUUAUUGAAAUGAUCUCCUGUUGAUUCAUGAUUAUCUUCAUUGAUAAUAUUUCAUGGGAUCCUACACAUAUCCUUCCUAUAUCUAGUAUAGAAGUUCUGCUUUGGAGACAUUUUACUGGAUUGAUAUAUUUGAGUGAGAUCUGAUGAAUGGCAGUGAGACAUGAAAUACAGGUAAGAUCAAGAUGCCUUAACAUAAAUGUUACUUUUUAGUCUAUUAAAGUUAGAGUCAAUAGUAUGUGUAGCCAAUGGAUCCUAUUUAUUCUAUUUAUGUUUUAUUUUCUUAAUUUCUUCAUUUUCAUAUUGUCUGGCUCUAAAGGUUAAAGUUAGAAAGGAAGAAUCUAGAAUCUAGAAUUUGUUAACUUAAAAUUAACUUGUAACUAAUUCUUCUUUUUCCUUCAAUUAUUCAUUCAAAAUAUAUUUAGUGUUUUAUUUUAUGAAAGGCUCACUAAAUCAAUUGGGAAAAAAACAUCAUGAGUAAGUAGAAAAGCAUAUAAAUUAAUGAUUCAUAAAUGAAGUGUUAUGAAUGGCCACAAACAUAUAAAAUACAUUAAAUUAUGUCAGUCUUUAUUACUAACUGAUUAACUUUGAAAAUCAUUAAAUCAGAACAUAAAGGAUAUAUUAAGAAAUGAAUUUCCCCUUUUCACCUAUCAGAUUUGCCAAAAUACUUAGAAAUGAAAUUUGAAACAAUUGAAAAUUCUGAUACUGUUGAAAAUUUUAAUUAAGAUAGACAUAUAUGAUGAAAAUUAGCACAUUUUGAUCACCAAUUUAAUUUUUAGAUAAUUACUUAUAGUUUGUAAUUAGAAACAAGAAAAUUUAUGUAAUAGUAAGUAUUCAUCAUAAUCAAUAAUUAUGCUUGUAAUUAUUAAUUAACUUGUGAUUAAUCAUAGUUCUAUUUAUCUAAUUUGAAUAUGUUCACGUAUUAUGAUACUGUAUGUUCAAAUUAACUGUUAAAAAUCCCAAUUUGAAAAAUUCAUUUGUUGCUGAGUGCCAGUUAUGUCCGAAGCAUUGAUUUAUUUAUUCAUGUCAAAUGUUAUAUGCAUAUGCUUCUUGUGGCCAAUAAAACAAUUUUUAGCAGGGAUAUUUAAAAAUA